rnacentral:rRNA from 1 species
GAUGAACGCUGGCGGCGUGCCUAAUACAUGCAAGUCGAGCGGUAAGGCCACUUCGGUGGUACACGAGCGGCGGACGGCUGAGUAACACGUAGGAACGUACCCCAAAGUGAGGGAUAAGCGCCGGAAACGGCGUCUAAUACCGCAUGUGGUCUUCGGACUAAAGCUCCGGCGCUUUGGGAACGGCCUGCGCAUGAUUAGCUUGUUGGUAAGGUAAUGGCUUACCAAGGCGAUGAUCAUUAGCUGGUCUGAGAGGAUGAUCAGCCAGACUGGGACUGAGACACGGCCCAGACUCCUACGGGAGGCAGCAGUAGGGAAUCUUCCACAAUGGGCGAAAGCCUGAUGGAGCAACGCCGCGUGCAGGAUGAAUGCCUUCGGGUUGUAAACUGCUUUUAUCUGUGACGAUUAUGACGGUAGCAGAUGAAUAAGGAUCGGCUAACUCCGUGCCAGCCGCCGCGGUAA